rfam:Rattus norvegicus chromosome 6, whole genome shotgun sequence.
GGGGAUUUAGCUCACUGGUAGAGCGCUUGCCUAGGAAGCGCAAGGCCCUGGGUUCAAUCCCCAGCUCCG